CACCAGAUCAAGAACCGUAAAUCUGUUGCCCUAUAUAGGAGAAAUAAAAAUAUCCUCGGUCCAUUUAACUGUAAGAAAUUGCGCUCGGCGUGUUCAGUCAGUGUGUAAGAUGUGUGGGCAGGUGGAGGUGCCAUUGCGCGUGUAGGAGGCACCGAUAUAGUUUCGGGAUCAUCUCCAUGUACUUCAUUCGCUUUAACCCGCUCUUGUCCUGCGCAACACCGAGCCAACUUCUUCUAUUCGGGGCUGAACUUUCUUUCAGGAAGAUCUGGACAGAUUAGCAAGGCGCUCGAAUUACUCCUGGAUACAUAGGCUAUAAUUACAUUGGAGUAUAUUAUAAAACAUGUCUAUUAUAUACCUAUAAGACGAAUGGUAUUUAAGGGAUGUGUGCAAUUCGCAACGAUGCUGUAAUCCAACAGUGUCAGACACUGAGGCUUUUUACAGGAUCAACUGGUUUCCUUAAGUGUCGCUUUCUAGGAUCUUUCUGUUAACUUUGCACAAUGGACUACAGGACUCGUAUGUUUCUUGUCUCAAGUCGCGUCUUGACGGAAGAAGGCAGAGCGACAAAUCUGUUUCAAAAGUCCUUAUGACAAUCUCAUAAUCAAAUUCUUGAUCUAGGAGAAGUAUUUUUUUAUUUUAUUUAAGAAGCGAAGUGCGUUUAUAAAGAAUAAACCUACCUGUCACAUUGCACACUUUAGUGUAUGGUAAACUUCUGCAAAGAGAUCUAUAGGCUUACAUUCCACUAAAAAACAUAGGAGGAAUUUGAGUUCAUCGGAAUCCCGUUGGCUCAUAUGGGACUGAGGCACUCAUCACGGUGCCUGCUCCUGCGCAGAAAGAUGGCGGAGGCUGAGAGCUCGGAGCAGAAGCAGCAGCAGCGGCAGCAGAGCACUAGCAAUCCUCCCUCUUCACAGCCUCCCCCUGUGCCUAAGCCCAUGGCAUCAGUUCAUCAUGUCCCUCGUCCCCCUCACACCCCACACGUCUCAGCACUCUCCACCUGCCCUGGACGUGGAAAAAUGGCGAAACUCCUCAAUCCAGAGGAAAUGACCUCACGAGAUUACUACUUUGACUCAUACGCACACUUUGGCAUUCAUGAGGAGAUGUUAAAGGAUGAGGUGAGAACACUGACCUACAGGAACUCCAUGUACCACAAUAAACACAUUUUUAAGGAUAAGAUUGUUCUAGACGUGGGCAGUGGAACGGGAAUUCUCUCCAUGUUCGCUGCUAAAGCAGGAGCCAAACAUGUCUAUGGGAUUGAAUGCUCAAGUAUAUCAGAGUACUCAGAGAAAAUCAUCAAAUCUAACCACCUGGACAAUGUUAUUACCAUCUUUAAAGGGAAAGUAGAGGAGACUGAACUGCCUGUGGAUCAGGUGGACAUUAUUGUCUCUGAAUGGAUGGGAUACUGCCUUUUUUACGAAUCCAUGCUGAAGACUGUCAUUUACGCCCGGGACAAAUGGCUGAAGCCCGGAGGGUUCAUGUUCCCAGAUAGAGCAACAUUACACGUGGUGGCCAUAGAGGACAGACAAUACAAAGACUUUAAAAUCCACUGGUGGGAGAAUGUUUAUGGUUUUGACAUGACCUGCAUUCGCAAUGUCGCCAUGAUGGAACCACUGGUUGAUAUUGUGGACCCGAAACAAGUGGUGACCAACUCCUGCCUUAUUAAGGAGGUGGACAUCUACACAGUAAAGUUGGAAGAUCUGACCUUCACCUCAGCCUUUUGCUUGCAGAUCCAGAGAAAUGACUACAUCCACGCUCUUGUCACCUACUUCAACAUCGAGUUCACCAAGUGUCACAAGAAGACCGGCUUCUCCACAGGUUCACUUUCAUCUACCAGCUCUGACGAACCCCUGAUGCUCCUAGUACUCACUGGAAGCAGACAGUAUUUUACCUAGAGGAUUACCUGACAGUGAGGAGAGGGGAAGAGAUCCUGGGCAGCAUUGCCGUCAAGCCCAAUGAAAACAAUGAGCGUGACUUGGACUUCACCUUUGAGCUGGAUUUCAAGGGGCAGCUUUGUGAUGCAGCGAUUUCCCACGACUACAAGAUGCGGUAGGAUUCCAACAGAGGGAGAUGUUCCCUAACAGCUCGACCAACCAGAGGACCACGCAGGAGGCUGUUAUAUGCUCUGACCGAACACCGAGACCAGCAGCAGAAUAUGAGACCAGUGUGAAUCAUGUUCAAAGAGCAAUAGUGUCAUCAGUCCUCCAGUUUUGCAAAACUACCAGUCUGUGAGAGAGAGCACCACUUUGAAUGUAACUGUCAAUGAGAAUGUCUUAGUUGUUAUUUAUUUUAGUAAGAAAGCAUGACAGCCAGUACAGUGUUGAAUAGUAAUCUACAAGGUAAUGUCAUUAAAAAAAAAUGAGGCAUCGUGCCCAUCGUGCUUGAGCACAGUAAUCGGAUUUACAGAAUGAGUAUUCUAAUAUCAGACAGCAUGGGGAAAGAUAUUAAAAAUGAGACAUUUGAUUGUUUGUUUUCAAAUAUUUCAUUUACUCCUUAUUACUAAACAUGUUUAAUUGUUACUUCUGGGUUUUUUUUUUGUGGUUGAAUGAUUUAUAUAGUAAUUGGCAUGUUUUAUUCUUCAUGAUGAUUUUUUUAAUGAAUUAAAAAUUGUUUCUUUGGCCUAAUCAAACAUUUUAUGCAAACAUUUGUUAGUAAUUUGGGAUGAUGGAAGUGGUGAAUAAAUCAGAGGUGUGAAAA